rnacentral:misc_RNA from 1 species
GAUGAAGAACGUAGCGAAAUGCGAUAAGUAAUGCGAAUUGCAGAAUUCAGUGAAUCAUCGAAUCUUUGAACACACAUUGCGCCCGCCAGUAUUCUGGCGGGCAUGCCUGUCUGAGCGUCGUUUCGACCCUCGCGCCCGGCUUCUGUCGGGGGCGGUGUUGGGGAUCGGCCACACCCUUCAGUGGGAGGCCGGCCCCUAAAUUCAGUGGCGACCACGCUGUAGCCUCCCCUGCGUAGUACUAAAACCACCUCGCAGGCGGAGAGCGGUGCGGCCCGCCGUAAAACCCCCCAACUUUUACAAGGUCGACCUCAGAUCAGGUAGGAAUACCCGCUGAACUUAAGCAUAUCAAUAAGCGGAGGA